rnacentral:rRNA from 1 species
AGUGAACGCUGGCGGUAGGCCUAACACAUGCAAGCCGAACGGCAGCACAGUAAGAGCUUGCUCCUACGGGUGGCGAGUGGCGGACGGGUGAGGAAUACAUCGGAAUCUACUUUUUCGUGGGGGAUAACGUAGGGAAACUUACGCUAAUACCGCAUACGACCUACGGGUGAAAGCAGGGGAUCUUCGGACCUUGCGCGAUUGAAUGAGCCGAUGUCGGAUUAGCUAGUUGGCGGGGUAAAGGCCCACCAAGGCGACGAUCCGUAGCUGGUCUGAGAGGAUGAUCAGCCACACUGGAACUGAGACACGGUCCAGACUCCUACGGGAGGCAGCAGUGGGGAAUAUUGGACAAUGGGCGCAAGCCUGAUCCAGCCAUACCGCGUGGGUGAAGAAGGCCUUCGGGUUGUAAAGCCCUUUUGUUGGGAAAGAAAAGCAGCAGGUUAAUACCCCGCUGUUCUGACGGUACCCAAAGAAUAAGCACCGGCUAACUUCGUG